rnacentral:lncRNA from 1 species
CUGUUCUCAAAAGGUCAGUGUCCUGUCAUAUCUGGUUUAGCUCUCACUGAGAUAGCUGUUUUUUGUUUUGUUUUUUUUUUUUAAGCACAGAAUGACAUGCAGAGUUUUCUGUAAAAUUUGAGUGGUGAACUAUCAAGACUGGAAAAUGUUCCACUACAUAUUCUUUCUCCACUCUCUUCUCCAAGCGAAGAAAGUAAGAGCUCUUUUUCAAGACAUCAAAUCCUUUGAGUUGCAUUACUACGAAGAUAGGUUAAAUUAUGCCAUACAGGGAAGUGUGAGGAUGUGAUGAAGCCUUAUGAAGAAGGAAUGGUCACAUUCUUUCACAUAGUCAAAUGAACUAUAAAUCCAGAAGACAUUAAAUCUUCUGCCAAGAUCCAUUGCCAAACAGCAGAGACCACAAAGCCACAGAGAUAUUUA